rnacentral:lncRNA from 1 species
GGCUUAGUGACUUAAAAUGAUAAAUACUUAUCUCAUACAGUUUCUGUGGGAAAGCAGUCUUAGAGGAGCUUAGCUGGUUGGCUCUAGCUCAGUCUCCCUUGUAGUACCUGCCAAGACAUCGGCUGGGUCUGAGUCAUCUGAAGGCUUGACUGGGGCUGGAGUAUGGUGAGCCAUCAUGGUGAGCCUUGACAUAGGCCUAGCCAUGAUUGAGCUUUGAGUCACCUCGCCGGCACGGACGUGCUGUCGGCCAUAGCAAUGGGCGAGUUUAGCUGGUAGCAGAUGUAACCCAUAAUGGUUGUUAUUGUUUCCCCCUGGAAUGAGUGGGCGGUACUCUCGCUCCCCUGCAGCUCUCGCUCCCAUGCAGCUGAAGAGUAUAAAUGUUUACACUUUUGGUUUCGGUUUUAGCCUAUAUAUACCCCACCCUGAAAAAUAAACGGGGCCUUGCCUUGCUACGGUAGAGCAUGAGCCUGGAACUAAGUUCGUGAAACUGCUCUCCUGUUGUUCCUCCCUCGGGUUUGGGACCUGCAGGCAGGAUUCUGACGUUGCGGCUCGCGACACUGGAGGACCUGCUUCCAAGGUGAUUCACUCACACACCUGGCAAGGUAGCACUGUGUUGGCAGAGCCUCAGUCUCUCACUGUAGAGAUGUUAUAGUGUCCCCGUGUCAUGGCAACUGGCUUGCUCCACUCAGAUCAAUGAUCCAACAAAGAGAGACAGAGCCAUAAUGCUUCCUAUGACCAGACUCAGAAAUCCCAUCGUGACACAUCUGCCCCCAUCUCGUAGUUAGAAGUGAGUUGCUAAAUCCAGUUUAUACUAAAGGGAAAGAUAAUUAAGCCCUACCUUUCAAAGGGGUAGCAAAAUAUCUGUAAACAUAUUUUAAAGUCACUACAGGGGCACUGAGUUUUCCUGCCAGUCUCUUGCCUGUUCCUGCUGCCAUGAACACGGUGUGUCUCAGACAGAGGUCUUCCUACUGGAUCCUGGAUCCUUCACAUGAAGGAGCCACAGCUGCUGUAGUUGUCACCGGCAAUGGUCACAUGAAUGGGGAUCUGCUGGGACCUUCCUGGUACCAUCCAUAGGCUCACCCAGGGGCUUUAUUCUGAAACUGGCAGAGGGGUUGAGCUUCCCUCCCUCCCAUAGCCUGGCUGGCCAAUCUCAUGUGUUGGCCUCGCUGUCCCAUCUGAUGCUGCUACAUUGACCAGACCUUGGGUAGACAGAACUGUAACUGGAAAAAGUCAACCUUGAGAGCAAG